CCAUACCCUAUGUUGUCCAUCAGCCACCCUACCCUACAGUAGCUCCCAAUUUCAGCCCCCAAAAGUCAGGUUGUCCAAUCCCCACUUCUUUGCAAAACCAAAGCACCCUAAAGCAAAUUAUCUGUAACUCUCUUUGCAAACCUUCAGCAGUUCCAACGUUCUCCUCUCUCCAAGUGCAGAGCCAACAAUCAAACAAGAACAUCCAUUGAAAAUUUCUCACAAGGCUUUAUGAACCAAGGGGAUUAGCGCCGCUUUCCCAAGACGAGUUUAUGUGAUUAUGAUCUUCAGGCUUUGCCUAUCCAGGUUGGCUGGCUGGUGCUGACGGGACGGAGCUGAGGCUAGGGUCAAAUUUCUAUUUUAGACUUCCGUUGUAGCAAUCACUCAUAUCCGUCUUUUGUUAUCCCAACUUAAGAUCUUCAUGUAAAAUUUCAAACGAUAUACUUGACCGAGCUUAGACUCUUCACUACUGAAUUUAUGCUAAUGAAUGUCGGUUGUCAGAAGCAUGAAACAAAACUUGUGAUCCAAAGGGGCAUAGCCCGAAUUUCAAAUCCUAUUUCGGUUAUAACAAGGUUUUUCCCUUGUUUA